rnacentral:misc_RNA from 1 species
GAAAUGCGAUAAGUAAUGUGAAUUGCAGAAUUCCGUGAAUCAUCGAAUCUUUGAACGCACAUUGCGCCCUCUGGUAUUCCGGGGGGAAUGCCUGUCCGAGCGUCAUUGCGAACCCCUCAAGCACGGCUUGUGUGAUGGGCCCUCCCGCGUCUUGGUCGUCAAGACGGGCCCGAAAUGCAGUGGCGGCUUCGCGGUUAUCCGAUCAGCCAGAGCGUAUGGGGACUUUCUCUCUGUCACACGCCCGCGGCGCGGACCGACGCCUGUCGACCUUCAUUCAUCGUUUUCUCGGUUGACCUCGGAUCAGGUAGGGAUACCCGCUGAACUUAAGC